rnacentral:rRNA from 1 species
GACGGGGACAACAUUCCGAAAGGAGUGCUAAUACCGGAUGUGAUCAUCUUGCCGCAUGGCAGGAUGAAGAAAGAUGGCCUCUACAAGUAAGCUAUCGCUAAAGGAUGGGCCUGCGUCUGAUUAGCUAGUUGGUAGUGUAACGGACUACCAAGGCGAUGAUCAGUAGCCGGUCUGAGAGGAUGAACGGCCACAUUGGGACUGAGACACGGCCCAA